rnacentral:tRNA from 1 species
CUAAGUGCGAUCCAUUGGUGUGGUUACCCGACUUGGAAUCGGGAUUAUUGUAGGUUCGAGUCCUAUCACUUAGA